UGUUUGUAUCUGUUUCUAUUUUAAUGCUUGAGGGAUGAUAUUUCCCUUUGAGGGCUAGGACUUGAUUUUGUUUUUAUUAUGUCUUUGGUUCUUUAUCAUUUAUGAUAUUCCUUAAACAUGCAAGUACAUUUCCAACUCAGGGCGUUUGCUCUUGAAAAUUCUGACUAAAAUGUUUCUUCCUUAUGUAUUUUCAUGACUCAUUUCCUCAUUUCAUUCAGACUUCUGCUGAAAUAUCACUACCAUACAGAAGCCUGUCCUAAACCACCAAAUCUUGAAAUCCUAAAUAGCAUGCAUUCACACAUGAACUCAAAAAUACUAUCAUCAUUCCUUUGCUUUUUGUUUUUCUCAUUGGAUUUGCCAUUACCUUAAAUAUUAUUUAUUUAUUGUUUCUCUCAUUAGAAUGUGAGCCAUCUCAAAGUAAAAUGUGUUCAUUGCCAGAUGUGGAACAGAUUUGGCAUAUAGUAGUCAUUUGAUAGAUAUUAGUUCAGUGAAUGGGUAAAUUAUUUGAUUAAUCCCCAUCUCUGUCCCCAAACACAGACACACAUACUGCAUUAUAGAUUUCAUGAAAAUUAGAGUGCAGUAUCUUUCUUGUUUAUCAUGGUAUCCAGGGAGUCAGUGUUAAAAAUAUUUGUUGAAUGACUAAAUGAAAGACGGUUAUAUUGACUGGUCAGUUGCCUUUUAGACAUUUUUUUUGUGACCUAUUUGGGAUGCAGUCUGUCAGGUAGAUUCUUUUAAUCAUUACUAUGCUAAAAGGAAAUAGGUAUCCUGCUUUGCAUCCAUUCUUGUUUUUAUAUGUUGACAUGAAAUUUUUGACAGUGGAAGCUUCACAGAAUAUUCACAUGACCCCCUGGGGGGAUUUAGUGAUUUAGUUCACAUUUUCUUCCUGUCCUUUGUUAGACUCAGAAAAUGAUAAUGGGACUUAACUUUGCAAUUACAGCUUGUGUAGGAGCUGUAACCCUCAACCCUCAAUCCCAACUCCCAACUUCCACCCCACCUUUACUCCUUCUCUCAGUCUUGAUUCAAAUUUGGAUUAUUACAAAACCUAUUUGCUAGGGGCAAAUGGCCCAGUUCUCUGCUCCUCAGAUCCUUCCCCAGUGCAUCUAUUUCCAGGGUCAGCUCCUGAAGGUGAACAUUUCUCUGUCAUAAUUCAAAGAACAGGAAGCCCUGAGGCACUCCAGGCGGCUAUAGAGGCACAUGAAAAGAGACAAUAUAGCAGAAUAAAGAAGAGAAAGGCCCAUGCAAUUUUUACUUAGUGAGCUCCCUUUCCAACUCCCAAUUCUCAUUUUAGAACUGCAUUUUGAAAUCAUUUUAGGGUUUUGGGUGACUACAAACUGCAUUUUGAAAUCAUUUUAGGGUUUUGGGUGACUACAAAUUGAAAUUGGGAACGAUCCAAACUGGAUUUUUUUUAAAAAACUGUAUUUAUGAAUAUUGUUGCUCGAAUUUAACACUUUUAGUUGGAAAUACCAUGUACAUUGACAUCUCAGGAACUGAUGUUUUUUAAUCAUGGAUAAAGCAGAAAUUUGAUAUUGGGACUAUUUAGAAUAAAACUGUGUGUGUGUGUGUGUUUUAAUGGUAAUUGCUGUUAUUUUUAAUUAUAAUUCUGCUAGAUCCCAUUUGGAAGGAGGGUGGGACUGAAGAGAAGGAGGCCUUCUGGAGCCCGCGCCUGUUACUUGAAGGAGCUAGACUGGAUGAGCGGGGAUUGGAGGUUGGGGGGGACGCAGGUCCUUCAUUGACCAGGCACAGCGCAGGCGCAGAGCGCAUGUGCAGGUAUCGCCGCCAGCACAGGCCGGCGCAGGCGCAGCACGUUGUAGUUCACAGCACGCCUGGUCUUGUAAUGGAGGCUCAACGAGAGUUUCUGAGAUUUUGGCGUGUGUCAGCAGCUCCUUGAGGUUCUUUCCAUGUACAAGAUGUGGUGCUGGGGCUUGUCGCUGUUCUGGGCGAGUGCGUGGCCCUGGCACACACGAACCAGGGGUCUGUGAAGCAACUUGUGACACUUAAGGGAAGGCCAUUUUUUGAAUGCCUAGAAUAGAAUGGAUUGGUCUCUGAAAACCAGGUGUGAGAGAUAUGCUCCUCAGGACACAAUUCAGGUUGGAAACCCAAAACUAGAGUUUAGCAAUUAUCUGAAAAGGAAGGGUGUCAUUGGAAUAUGAUCUUUCAUCAUAUUGAAGCUUAGUCAGAUUCACCAUUGGGACAGCUAUAACCUUCCCCUAAAACCAAAGACCUUGAUGAUGAAUUUAAUAAUGGAGAUAAUGCACACACAUUCGGGGACUACUGAAGUGUGCACAGAGCGUAAAGCAAACACAACACAGCACAUCUUGAGACUGUAGGCAAGAGCAUAGUUAAAGUCCUGAAGGUUAAAACAGUGGCGAGGGUGGCUGGGAGGCAGGAAGAUUCCUUAUGCUACUUGGAACAUGGUUAUAUAUUGUCUGAUGGAAGUAAUGCAUGGAGAAGACAACUGGAGGAGGCUGCACAAACUUAAUUUCCAUUCUGGGCCUGCACCUAGGCUUGGAAGAGAGGGAAAGGUCCAGAAGGCAAGAAGAGGGCAACAAGAAACAAGAGAUGGCGUAGUGAAAGUGAGAGAAAGUUCGGAGGAAUUUUGAGAAGAGGAAAUUUGAACACACAAAGAGACACCAAGGAUGUGUGUACACAGCAAAAAGUUCAUGUGAGGACACAGUGAGAAGGUGGCUGUCUGCAAGCCAAGGAGAAUGGCCUCAGAAGAAUCCAAACCUGCUAACACUAUGAUCUUGGACUUCAAGCCUUUAGAAAUUCACUACAGGAAAAAGCUCCAUUCCUACUCUUUGGCCCUUGUGGAGGAAGGGCUAGACUGUGCCAGCUUCCUUUAGAGUUUGGGACAAACCAAAGAAUUGAACAUAACGUGUCACCUAGUAGCAAGAUUCCUGGUGGCAGCAACUGUUCUAGGAUCCGGUGGCAGUUUAGAUGGAGCAGCUACAAAGUAUCUGGCAGAGAAGAUGACAUUUGAGUAAAGUUCCAAAGAUCAUCAAAGGAUAAGCCAUGCAGAUAUCUGAUGCAAAAGUGUUUGAAGCAAAGGAAGGAAGCAACAAAAUCCCUAAGGUAGGAAUGGGCCUGAUGUAUUUAAGCAAAAGCAAAGAGGCAAUAAGGGUAGAGCUGAAUGAGUGCAGGGUUAGGCAGAAGAUGAGAAAGACUGGGGGCAGAGAACAUAUUGAAUACGUGUAAUAGGCUACUAUAAAGACUUCCAGUUUAGCCUGAGGGUAGGGGAUGAGAGAAGUUGAACAGAGAAGUGACAUGAUAUGAUUUAUACUUUAGUUUCAUCAGAAUCCCUUCUCAUUGCCGUGUUAGAGAAUAGGUCUGCUAAUUGACCAGGUGGAAAAAGGGAGACUAGUCAGAAUGCUAUUGCAAUUAUCAUUAUGAGAGAGGAUGUUGGCUUGGACCAUGGCAGCCUUGAAUUGGAUAAGGAGUAGACUAAUUCCAGAUUUAGUUAGAAGAUGGAGCUAACAUCAUUUGUUAACAUAAUGAAUAUGGAAUGAGAACAGCAGAGAGGAGUCAGGAUGGCAUUAAGGUUUUGGAGUGAUGAACUGGAAGAGUGAAGUAGCUGUUUGCUGAAAUGGGGAAGACCAAAAGAGGAGAAAGUUUGGCUUAAAAUCAAGAAUUUAGUUUGGACACGUCAAGUUAAAAUGACCCUUAGACAUUUGCAUCAGUUCAUUGCUUCUCAGCUGCAAAAAUGCUUUGUGGUAAACAAUGGAAUUCCUUUAAGCAUUUCUUUUUUUAAAGUGAGAACAGUGUUAAGCUUUUUAAAUAAAGAGGGAUGGAGGGACAUUGAAGGAGGAAGAGUCUUUUUUUCUUGCCAUUGCUGGUCGAGACUGGGCAUUGGCAAUGUGGAUGUGAGGAUAUCCAGUGGAGCUCUUUCAGCACUGGAACCAGGACUGGCCCGUCUAUGACAUUGCAUUUUAAACCUGCUGGUAACUAUUUUGCAGCCUUCUUUUCUGUGGAAACCAGAGUCCUCAUACCUUGAAGGCCGUCUUCUUCUGCUCAUGCCCUGACUCCCUCUGCAGGUCAGUGGCUGCUGGUUACCUGUUCCUACUUGCACUCCAAAUAGUAGCUAGCCUAUUGCUUUUCCAGCAACUCCAGACUAGUUCUGGUCUUCUCUUAUUGUUUGGUAGCCUGAACCACAUCUUUUCCAACAAGGUCUGAGCCCCUUCCAAGUUUGCCUUUCACUGGGUACACAUCACCCUGGGAUGCCAGAGAUAUCCCAGUGUUAAGAUACCAUAUGUGUCACAGUUGCUCUUUUAAAAUAGCUCAUGAUUCUUUAUUUGAAACUUCCCUCUUCUAUCACCUGGUUGGACACAGAUUGCUAUAACGUCCAAUUGGAGAUGUGUGUAAGCCAUUGGUUGUAUAAAUUUGGAGCUCAGAGGAGAGGUCCAAGAUGAGGAUACACAUUUGGUACCAUAAAUAUAUAUUUAUGGUAUAAUGGUAUAUAUGGUGUAAUUGUGGAAGUCAUGAGACUUUCUCAAAGUCAUGAGUCACAUCUCAAAGGAAAUGAACUUAGAGAAGAAAGACACAAGACUGAAACUUAGCCCAAAAUUUAGAAGAAGAAAUAAAGAGGAAGUAGGAGACCUCAGUCUGUUUUCUUAGUAAAGGAGACUGAGAAAGAGUUCUGAGAGACAGAGUGAGCUUUUCAAGGAGGAGAAUGUAAUCAUCUGUGUUCAUUGAAGCCAGUUGGUCAGUUAGAAAAAUGGUGGUAAAUUGGCCAUUGGAUCAGGCAUUAUGAAGGUCUUUGGUGAGAACAGCAGUUUUAGUAGAAUGGAAGGACUUAAAUUCUGAUUGGAGAAGAUUCAUGGAGAAUGGGACAAUGAAAUCAUAUAGACAGCGAGUAUAGAAGCUCUUUUAAAGAGUUUGUCUAUGAAACAAAAAAGAAAUAUGGAUUAAUGUAGAGGGGAGACUUAUGGGGUCAAGGGAAAGAGGGUCUCAUUCUUUUAAGUGAUGAAAGAAAAAAAAGCAACAUUUUUUAUGCUAAUGGGAAAGUUCCAGUAGGAAGAAAAAAAAUGAUGGUGGAAGAGAGAGGGAGAAAAAUUCCUGGAUUCCUGGAGCAAUGUCUGAAAAGAGGAGGGAGGUGGAAUCUAGGGUUGAAGUGAUAGUCCCACCUAUAGUCACAGGAGAGAAGACAAAGUACCUGGGCACAAAUGCUUUUGCGUAAGUGGUGAGAGCAUACAGAAGUAUUCAGUUGAUUAAAUCUAUUUUGUCAGUGAAAAAAGAAAUAAGGUCAUCAGCCCAGAUUAAAUAUGGGGCAGGGAUUGCUAUAGGUUUGAGAAGAGAGAAUGUAGGACAUAAUGUAUACCUCAGUGGAAAAAAUGCAUUAACUAAAGAAACAUACAACUCUCAGGUAAAUUGAAAAAUUAGCAGUCAUGGAGAAGUUGGAGGGAAGGUGGUAGAAUAGGAAGAACCAGGAAUCUAUCUCCCUGCAUAGACUAUUGCUCUGGAGAAGAAUCUAUAUGAUGUAAUCAUUUUGGAACUCUGGAGUCUACUGAAAUCUUGCAACUCCCAGGUGAUGGCAUAGACAGUAAGUUGUGGUUAACUUAAAUUCAGCUCGUAAUUCAGUAGUGGUUACCCAUCCCUCAUCCUCAGACCCAUGGCAGGCAGCUAUGCACACAUUCCUGAAGCAACUUGCAUGCUGCUUGCAGGAGCCAUUGUGGACAAUAAGGAUUCUGACCACCAAGAUAUCAAGGAUUUGGGCUCUGCUAAUUGCUGCUUUUGACUUCAGAGGUGCAGACACAGAGGCAGGUAUCCAUUGGUGCACACCUCUCCUUCCAUUGUUGUCAGUACUACUUCUGACAGUUGACAUGACUUCCAGGGGAUUUAAGAGACUUCCCUGCUUCACUUUUCUCUUUUUACCCUUUUGGGAGCCAUAUAUUUAAGGACUAUGGUAUCAGCUCAAAAGCAACCACAUAUAUAUACAGGAAUUUUGAAAGUCACCAUGUCUGCCAGGAAAAGCACAGAGUCAGAAAAGACCUGAGAAGAUCUCUGGUACAAAGACCAUGUAACAAUCAAACCAAACCAAACCAGCAAACCCAGGAGAAGGAGAAUCUGACCUCCAGAGUUAGUCACAUUGUAAGAUUCAAAUAUCCAGUUUUCAACAAAAAAACCACGGGGCAUUCAAAUAAGUAGGAAAGUACAGCAAAUUUAAAAGAGAAAAGUAAAUCAGUAGAAAAUCCUUGCGGAAAAGUAGAUGGAAGACUCACUAGGCAAAUAACUGUCGUAAAAAUGCUCAAAGAGUUAAAAUAAUGUUGUGGUGAUGGUGUACAACACUGUGAAUGUACUUAAUGUUACUGAACUAUACACUGAAAAAUGGUAAAUUUCAAUUAGUAAUAAUGAUAAAUUUUAUGUUAUAUAUUUUAGCACAAUUUUAAAAGUCAGCGAUUUGAAAUACAGAUCAUAGGCAUGAAAUUAAGGUGAGAACCUUCAUUAUGGUUUUGUGUCUUUUCUGUAAUUCAGUUUAGCUGUGUGGAUGCAGGUGCAGAGCCAGUGAAGAUGUGAGUUUCCCAAGGUAAUAAGACAAUAAGGUGACAUGAGGAAUGGAUCAAGGAGUUAGGAGUAUACGAAGGAUGAUUUUAAUGACUGUGGAAUGUAGGCUGAUGGCUAAAAUUCUAGCCAUUAAGAUCAAGCUGGUAACGGAAGGAAAUAGGAGACAACAAAAUAGCUCCUUCCCUUUGGACAGACUUCCUGGAAGAACCAGAUACUUACCAUUUAGUGAGCAGACAUAGUCAUGUGCUAUACAUAGGUGUUAAGGGAUUCUGGAAAAUCUGUUCUUUAAUUCUGAGGAACAAUGUGCAUGCUAAAAACAUACUAUUUGUUAGGGAAGAAAGGAAGAAUGCAUGUAGAAAGCAACUACCCUUUUCUAUCACCAUAUGAAAUAAUGUCCUGUGUAAUGAGUCUCUUUGGGAAAAGACUACAGAGGAAGUUGUUGUAGCCUGGGGAAAGGCAAUAUUCUCCUUUAAUCAAAGCUAGGCACAAGGCCAUUUUGGCAAAAAAAUGUGGGUGAGACAACAGUAUUUUUUUUCUCAACCAUUCAUCUUCUUUCUUGGGGAUGUUUUCCUUUCAGGUCAUAAGAAUUUUCAUGUAUUUUCCAUCCCUUUACUUAUAGAAGAUUUUUUCAGGAAAGGACUUGAUAAGACCAACUUCAUUAUGGUUUAAAUGAUUGAUAAAGUUUAGAGUUACUCAUCUGAACAGUGUAAACAUUUUUAAAGGAGAUGAAACCUUAAGCUAACAGUUAAUGACAUCUCAUUGGAGAUGGUUCCUAGCUUAGGAAGCAGAAAUAAUUUAAGGGAUAUGGGGAACUUUCUGUAGCUUCUGUAAUAACACCAUCUUGGCAAUCCCUGUCUGAAUGUUCCUGAGGAUUUCACUGGCCAGAGCUACAUCAUUCAGUUUUUCAAACUGUCAAUCUGGCAACAGUUAUUAAAUUCAGUUUGAGACCAAAUAAAAAGGAGCAUUUUGCAAUUGGAUUGAAUGAAGGUUAAUAGCAUAAAAGAUUCAGAAAUCACGAUCAGAUAGCUGUGGGAUUCCGACUUCUCACAACUCAAUCAGUGAAUGCUAAGAAGUUGAGUUAACCUCAUGGCACGCAACAGAAUUGGCCCAGGACAUGGUUUUGCUUGCGACAGGAGCACAUUUCCUUUUAUGCUCAUUGAAUAGCCAAAUAGAAUUGACUGAUGGUUUGCCACAUGCCACCAAGAGAUAUCUUAGCGCAUCUGAUAGACUACAGAAUAGGAAUGCUGCUUAACAUGAAUUUUAUUGCAUCUCAGCACCUGCUCCAGCCAACAGUCAUUACUAUCUAGGAGAGGCUGUGCUCAGAUGAUCAUUAUUCCUGUAUCUUUGCAUUUGUAUUCUGCUGACUACUGUGCAAGCUAAAAUUGACAAAUGGAGGGACUUAUUGUGAAUGGCAGAAACCUGUGGCUGCAUGUCCUUUGCAAGCCUGGAAUAUUAGGAAAGGUUGAGGAGGGGGUUGUUUAUGUAAUUGGAAUCACCAUCUAGAUAUUCCAGCCUUUCUGUCUCUCUCUCAUUCGGCCUCCUCCUUUCCCAUCCUCCCUACCCCAUCUCUAUCACUCUUGUCCAUGAAUUUUUGUGAGGAUUUUUAUUUUAAUAUGAGAUAGGGAAAAUAUCAUGUAAUAACCAGGAUGGAAAUUUUCAGGCCAAAAAUCCAAAUAUCUGAUCAAUCAGAUAAAUGUUAGAAAUGUAGAAUCCCAUGUGUUAUAGUUAGGGAUAAUAUUCACUCAGGAUAGUCAGACAAGUCAUUGACAUAUUGAAAUACCUCCUUACCAAAUGUUGUGUAUCUAUUGACCCAUGCUCUCUGAAUAUAUUCUUGCCACAAAGUCCCUUGGCUGGGACCUUUAAGGGUCCUAAGACCCUCAAAAUUACCUCAAUAUCUAGAAAGUAAGAGUUAGAUCUUGGAAUGGCUGGGGGCCAGAGGAAGCAGCUCCUUAUCUAAUCUGAUUGUUCUAAGCCUCAUCCCAUCACUUGUUAACUGCUAGAGUUUCUAACUCCUAGAAUGUCCUUCAAAGACAAACUGAAAAGGUUGCUGUAGGGUAGGAAAGAUAAAAUGAGCUGCUCCUAUGUAAUGUAUUGACCGUUUGUUCUCAGGUACAAAACUGGACACUUAGCCCUCUUCGGCCUUUGGUGAGAAGCUAAAUCAAUAUUCUUUUGCUUGUCAAACUGUUUUUAGGCAGCGGAUAGUGACUCUAUUGGAGUAGAUGAGAAAAAGCCAAAGGGCAUGCUCAAUCCACUAGUCAAGGACCCCUGCAGAUUCAACUCAUCAUGUGUGGCCUGUGGUAACCCUUGCAGUCUUUGCUCAUUAACCUGUAAAAGGGAUUUACUACUGCAUGUCAUCAUUUGUAGGUGUCCUUUUAUUGAGAAGGUCCUUGAAGAUCCCAGAGGGAUUCAAAUUUUACCUUUUAGAUAUCUCUUCCCUCCAGAAUCCAAUAGGCAUAAAAAUGUUUCAUAUCUUUAGCAGGAUUCAUGUCUUUUCAAUCAUGGUUAACAAUGGUAUUCUUGACAGAAACUGCAUCCUCUGCCACUUUAUUAUGUGCAUUUCUUUGAACCAUUUGUACGCUGUGUGUGAUUGGAUCUGUACAGAUUAAAAUAGCACCGAGAGAGCCAAUUUAAGGCUUGGGAUGAGUGAGCCCAAGCAUUAGAGACAUUCUGGCACACAUACACAUCGUAAAUCCUAUUGUUAAGUUUGCAGUGGGUGUGAUGGAAUGUGCAGCUCAGGCACUUUACCCUCGUUAGUGCAAAAGUAAAUUGUAAGGGCUCUCACAGAGCUCCAAGGGGAAUAAAGGAGGAGAGGGAAUGGAAAAGAUUUUCUGAAAUCUGAUAGCUAUCUCUCUUGGUAUCCCCAAGAUGCAAUACACCAGUAAAAAAGGCUAACGUCUUUGCUGAUUAUAGCCUUGUAUACUAAUUAAAUACAUGGUAUUGUGUAGUGAAAGAAAAUCCAAAUGGCUUUCAGCACAUCCAAAAUGGAAUAAGAACUAGAAACAAACCUUGUCUAAACAGUUCAUUGAUGAGAUAUGGUAAUUGAUUGGAAAUUGCUAUAAAGAUAGGCUCAUGAUGACAUGUUUUGGAAUUAAAUAUCUAUUUUUCCUCCAAAUUCAUAUUGUUAAAUAAUAAACAUAUUAACCUUAUAUGCUUAUCUGUUAGUGCAAUGGUUCUUAACUUUUCAGGGACAUUAGAAUCUCCUGAGGAGGUUGAAAAAAUACUGAUAUCUUGGUCCUACCCAUAGAGAUUCUGAUUUAUUUGGUCUGGGCAUCAGAAUUUUGUAAGUCUCUUUGGUGAAUUAAAAAAAAAAUCCAGAUUUACUGAGGUAUAUUGGCAAAUAAAAUUGAAUUGUAUUUAAACUAUACAACACAAUGAUUUGAUAUAUGUAUAUGUUGUGAAAGGAUUCACCCAAUCAAAAUUAAUUAAUACAUCCAUUACCUCAUAUAGUUACU